UCAAGACAGUACACACAAGCAUCAAAGUUCGUAUCAAGACAGUACACCCAAGCAUCAAAGUUCGUAUCAAGACAGUACACCCAAGCAUCUAGGUUCGUAUCAAGACAGUACACCCAAGCAUCUAGGUUCUUAUCAAGACAGCACACCCAAGCAUCUAGGUUCUUAUCAAGACAGCACACCCAAGCAUCUAGGUUCGUAUCAAGACAGCACACCCAAGCAUCUAGGUUCGUAUCAAGACAGUACACCCAAGCAUCUAGGUUCUUAUCAAGACAGCACACCCAAGCAUCUAGGUUCUUAUCAAGACAGUACACCCAAGCAUCUAGGUUCUUAUCAAGACAGCACACCCAAGCAUCUAGGUUCUUAUCAAGACAGCACACCCAAGCAUCUAGGUUCGUAUCAAGACAGCACACCCAAGCAUCUAGGUUCGUAUCAAGACAGUACACCCAAGCAUCUAGGUUCUUAUCAAGACAGCACACCCAAGCAUCUAGGUUCUUAUCAAGACAGUACACCCAAGCAUCUAGGUUCGUAUCAAGACAGUACACCC